rnacentral:lncRNA from 1 species
GGGCGCUCGGGCCGCGGGGCAGGGGGCGCGGGGUGCCUCCUCGGCCUCGGCUCUCCCCGCCCCGGGGCGCCCCGAGACCGCCGCCUGCCUCCGCGGGCAGCUUUGUUCUUCUUUCUUCCAACUACCUGUCUGAGCCGCGGGCCCCAGAGGCCCCAAAGAGAGGCCCGGAGGGUCUCCCCAGCAGCAUCCGAGGGGCGCUCUCGGGGAGCUAGGGGCCAGAGUCCGCGGUCCCUCCGUGCCUGCCUCCCUCCCCUCGUGCCUCGGUCUUUUGUUGCCUCUACUCCUCGGCACGGCACAGCCUGGGCUCUUUUCCCCCUCCCGCUUGGGAGUUUGCAGUGUGGACGCUCGGCGAGCACAGGUAGUUGUGAGGAAGAAAUGAGAUCAUCAGUGGCAGUGGCAGCAUCAGUUAUUUGUGGAGAAGGGGAAGUCUGGUCCUGCCUCAUCUCCACUGUCCCUCCAGGGCCCCACCAAGUGAAUAGAUGGAAGAAAAAGAUGAGUACUGGCUAGGUUGGUAAGCCAGAUAUCCACAUUAUCUCACAUCACAUCACUGAGCUCUGUGGCCCAGUUCUGACUACAUGUUGGAAGCAGAAGUCUGCAGGGGAUG